UUCAAACCGGACGAAAAUCUAUAAAUCAAGUAAAAACCAGACUAAACCGCUGAGUUGGACAGAAUCCAGUUCGAGUCGAACCGAAAUGACCUAGAAAACUAGGAAUUUCUUUUUCUUUCUUUUCUUUUCUUCUUCUUUUCUUUUCCUCUUCGUUUCAAUGGCACUCAACCUCUUCUUCUCUCUCUCUUCGUUUUUCCAGUCAACUUCGGACCUCCUUCAUGCCGCCACCACUUCUCAGCUUCUCCCUCAUAUUUGUUUUUGUUUCCGGUGAACGCAGCAAGCAGAGAAGCUGCGAUCUUGUCUACGAUCGGACAGCCCCACCUCCAAAGCUCUCCUUCAUUUUGUAGGCGAUUUCACACCGUUUUCGAUGGUUCCAGCGUUGAGAAUAGGCAUCAAUCGAUUUCUUUCCUGCCUGUUAACAUUUACCCUUGGAAAUCACGAGGCUCAUGGCCAAUUUGUGAAACCACUAUGAAUAGCGACUUUAAGCUCCUGUCGAGCCCGUUCCGGCCAAUUAAAGGACUGAUCUCACCUAACAAAUAUCAUAAAUGAAUUCCUCAAUGAAAUUCGAGUCAAGUGGUGUGAAGAGCACUCAAUUCUAAGUAGCCGCGACUUUCUGGCCACCGUAGACGGCGGCGGUCCGGGCCCGCCAGCGAGGCCCAGACAGAAACGUGGAAUUUUCUGAAUCCGAA
rnacentral:lncRNA from 1 species